UACGUAGGUGGCAAGCGUUAUCCGGAAUUAUUGGGCGUAAAGAGCGCGCAGGUGGUUGAUUAAGUCUGAUGUGAAAGCCCACGGCUUAACCGUGGAGGGUCAUUGGAAACUGGUCGACUUGAGUGCAGAAGAGGGAAGUGGAAUUCCAUGUGUAGCGGUGAAAUGCGUAGAGAUAUGGAGGAACACCAGUGGCGAAGGCGGCUUCCUGGUCUGUAACUGACACUGAGGCGCGGAAGCGUGGGGAGCAAACAGGAUUAGAUACCCCU
rnacentral:rRNA from 1 species